AGAUAGAGGCGCGGGGUUCAUGAGUAGGCUCCCAGCACGGAUGCAGCAAAUCCGGGGGCUGAAAGGGAACAUCGCCGAAGCGAAAGGAAAGCUGCUGCGCUGCUUUUCGCUGGGCUGACGGAGAAUAUCCGGCAGACUGUCACGCAAGUGGAGCGCUAUCGUG
rnacentral:ncRNA from 1 species